rnacentral:rRNA from 1 species
GACGAACGCUGGCGGCGUGCUUAACACAUGCAAGUCGAACGGAAAGGCCCUGCUUUUGUGGGGUGCUCGAGUGGCGAACGGGUGAGUAACACGUGAGUAACCUGCCCUUGACUUUGGGAUAACUUCAGGAAACUGGGGCUAAUACAGGAUAGGAGCUAUUGCUGCAUGGUGGGGGUUGGAAAGUUUCGGCGGUUGGGGCUGGACUAGCAGCUUAUCCGCUUGUUGGUGGGGUAGUGGCUUACCAAGGCUUUGACGGGUAGCCGGCCUGAGAGGGUGUCCGGCCACAUGGGUACUGCGGUACGGCCCAGACUCCUACGGGAGGCAGCAGUGGGGAAUAUUGCGCAGUGGGCGGAAGCCAGAGGCAGCAACGCCGCGUGCGGGAUAACGUCCUUCUGGUUGUAAACCGCUUUCUCCUGUGACGAGGCGUGAGUGACGGUAAUGGGUAAAGAAGCACCGGCUAACUACGUG